CGUGGGAACGUACCCUUUGCUACGGAAUAGCCCCGGGAAACUGGGAGUAAUACCGUAUGUGCCCUUCGGGGGAAAGAUUUAUCGGCAAAGGAUCGGCCCGCGUUGGAUUAGGUAGUUGGUGGGGUAAUGGCCUACCAAGCCGACGAUCCAUAGCUGGUUUGAGAGGAUGAUCAGCCACACUGGGAAUGAGACACGGCCCAGACUCCUACGGGAGGCAGCAGUGGGGAAUCUUAGACAAUGGGGGAAACCCUGAUCUAGCCAUGACGCGUGAGCGAUGAAGGCCUUAGGGUUGUAAAGCUCUUUCAGYYGKGAAGAUAAUGACGGUASCRRCAGAAGAAGCCCCGGCUAACUCCGUGCCAGCAGCCGCGGUAAUACGGAGGGGGCUAGCGUUGUUCGGAAUUACUGGGCGUAAAGCGCGCGUAGGCGGACUAUUAAGUGGGCGGUGAAAUCCCGGGGCUCAACCCCGGAACUGCCUCCGAU
rnacentral:rRNA from 1 species